CAGUAGCCGCGGUAAUACGUAGGGUGCAAGCGUUAAUCGGAAUUACUGGGCGUAAAGCGUGCGCAGGCGGUUUGUUAAGACAGAUGUGAAAUCCCCGGGCUCAACCUGGGAACUGCAUUUGUGACUGGCAAGCUAGAGUAUGGCAGAGGGGGGUGGAAUUCCGCGUGUAGCAGUGAAAUGCGUAGAUAUGCGGAGAAACACCGAUGGCGAAGGCAGCCCCCUGGGCCAAUACUGACGCUCAUGCACGAAAGCGUGGGGAGCAAACAGGAUUAGAUACCCCUGUAGUCCUGUCUCUUAUACC
rnacentral:rRNA from 1 species